CAGAGGUUUGACGGUGCUGAAGAAUCCAUAAAUGCACAGCAGAGUUGUGGGAAACCGCCAGUCUGCCCUCCACGUCUUCACAGACUCCAUCUGCCUCUGCUCCAGUCUGCCUGUUUCAGAUGCACGCCAACAACCUGUCUUACCUACGAGAGCGCAGACAGCUUCUACCCCUCCAUUAUAGACCGAGGAUGUGGCAGAUGGUUUGAUAUGGUCCCACAUCAGCUGGAUAUAGUUGAAGAUCUGCCCAUAGCCAGCUGCUGCCAGAGCCCACCACAGAGACCAGUAGAUUAAAUGCCUGGAUGAGUAUGACUGCUUGAAGCUUUCCCAGAGUAGAUGCACAGCACUGAUGAUGUUUUCUCUGCUGCACCAGCCUGCACAGACACUACACGUCGUCUUAUCAGGCUCUGCACCGGCCUGAUUAUU